rnacentral:rRNA from 1 species
AGUGAAUAGAUACCCAGGUAGUCCACGCCGUAAACGAUGGAUACUAGCUGUUGGAGGUAACUUCAGUGGCUAAAGCGAAAAAGUGAUAAGUAUCCCACCUGGGGAGUACGUUCGCAAGAAUGAAACUCAAAGGAAUUGACGGGGGCCCGCACAAGCGGUGGAGCAUGUGGUUUAAAUUCGAUGAUACGCGAGGAACCUUACCAAGGCUUAAAUGUAGAUUGACCGGUUUGGAAACAGACCCUUCGCAAGACAAUUUACAAGGUGCUGCAUGGUUGUCGUCAGCUCGUGCCGUGAGGUGUCAGGUUAAGUCCUAUAACGAGCGCAAUCCCUGUUGUUAGUUGCCAGCGAGUCGAGUCGGGAACUCUAACAAGACUGCCAGUGCAAACUGUGAGGAAGGUGGGGAUGACGUCAAAUCAUCACGGGCCCUUACGCCUUGGGCUACACACGUGCUACAAUGGCCGGUACAGAGAGCAGCCACCUCGUGAGGGGGUAGCGAAUCUAUAAAACCCGGGUCACAGUUCGGAUCGGAGUCUGCAACUCGAC